AAAACUUUGGAAGUAUAUAUUACUGAGUGUUAUAAUUGGAAGUGGAAAUAGGACACAAGGCAUAUAUUUACUUACCAUAUAUAUAUGUGUGUGUGUGGUCAUAAGUGUUUUUAACAAACAGUGCAUGAAUAAAAGCCCCCCUCCCUUGCACCGAAGCAUAAUCAGUGGUUAUCUUCUGGAUGCUGUAUAAAAACAAGAUUAGAACAUUUUAAAAACCUUUUAUAAUGACCAGAUGAAUGAAAAACACGACUUUUAAAAGGAAAUACUUUUCUCCCUCAUGCCAUUUGCUUUGAUUAAGUACAGUAUUUUCUCCCUUCCUGCUCCUCUUGACUGUUCGGAGAGGUGGUGUGCACGGGAAUGGAAGACUAGGAGGGAGCCGAGCUGCAGCAGCACGCUGCCCACGGUGCUCCUGGGAGGCAGGUGGCAGAACAAGGAUCAAACACACUUUGGUCUUCAAAGUAACGAAGACACUGGAUUGUCACAAUUUCAGUUGAAUGCCCCUCCCUCUGUGACUCGAUUGCUUUGCCUUUGAACUGCCCACUGGAAAGAGCCUGGAGUGUAACUGCUCAGGCCUUUCUGCGGCUGCCAGCUGCUGCCCUUCACAUUUGAUCCCACGUCACGAGUUCAGUGCAGGAACGUCGUGGUGUAAAGUGGUAGGGACAUCCAAGGUAUCCAAGUGAAGCAAAGCAAUGCAGCAGAAAGGCUGUGGAGCUGCCUGUUGGAGGCUGAUCCUUCUGCAGAGAGUCUACGGAUGAGGAAGGCACAGAAACCUAACAAUUAGGACCAAAUGGAGAGGACGUUUUGAUCGGCUACUCGAUCGAAAGCAAUCGUCACAUUUUGCUUGAGUAUUUUAUAGGUGCGUGAUGCCUUCAAAAUAACUCUUUGUCCUCUACUUUUUUUUUUUUUUAAAAGAUUUACUUAUUUAUUUGAAAGUCAGAGUUAACAGAGAGAGAAGGAGAGGCAGAGAGGGAGGAGGGGUCUUCCAUCCUCUGGUUCACUCCCCAGUUGGCCACAAUGGCCGGAGCUAUGCUGAUCCGAAGCCUGGAGCCAGGAGCUUCUUCCAGGUCUCUCACGCUGGUGCAGGGGCCCAAGGACUUGGGCUAUCUUUUAUUGCUUUCCCAGGCCACAGCAGAGAGCUGGAUCAAAAGUGGAGCAGCCGGGUCUUGAACCAGUGCCCAUAUGGGAUGCUGGCACUGCACGUGGCAGCUUUACUCACUAUGCCACAGUGCUGGUCCCUGUCCUCUACUUUUAAUUCAACUGUUGGCAUUGGUUUGUACAAAAAAGUUCAUAUAAGGAUACUUAGAAAAGCAAGUGUGCAUUUGCCUGUUACCUUUGUAUUGGAGUGGGGGGAAAAAGUCAGGUAUGCCAUUAUGAAUCCUGUGGACAUUGUCCAGAUAAACUGAUCCAUAAGCAGUUGCUUUCAAGCAGAUCUUAACAUGUUUAUAAAUAUAGCUAUUUCUUCCAGUCCCAUUCUUCCCCAGAUCUGUACUCUUUAGAAACAUUGCUGUUUUACUAAACUUUUAUUGAGAGCCUUAAUGCCAUACUUCAAAGACAAUCGUUAUAAUGUUGAAAAUGAAAGGUUAAAAUCAAACUACAAAGAUUGUUUUCAUUUUUUUAAAGGUUUAUUUAUUUAUUGGAAAGUCAGAGCCACAGAGAAAGAGAAGCAGAGGUAGACAGAGAAGAGGAGAGAGAGAGAGAAGAGGAGAGAGAAAGGGAGAUCUUCCAUCCACUGGUUCACUCCCCAAAUGGCUGCCACAGUCAGGGCUGGGCCAAACCAAAGCCAGGAGCCAGGAGCUUCUUCCUGGUCUCCCACGUGGGUGCAGGAGCCCAAGGACUUGAGCCAUCUUCUGCUGCCUUCCCAGGUGAAUUAGCUGGGAGCUGGAUCUGAAGUGGAGCCACACACACACACACACACACUGCAGGCAGCAGCUUAACCCUCUACAAUACACAACAAAGUGUGGACUAUGUUCUCUAGAACAGAAUGAGCCUGUUGACUUGAGAGGAUUCAAAAUGUAACAGAAUCUUGAAGCCUGUCACAGAGGACCCCCAAACUUAUUAAAAUCCUUUGUCCAUGGCAGAAACCACAUGCUAGGACUAAUUUACCAGGGCAGCAGAGAGAGAGAGAGAGAGAGAGAGAGAGACUGGGUUGGCAUGUUGGCUGAGUGGGGAGCUUCCUAGCCCUGGAACAUGGCCAGGAGUGGAUAAUGACCGUCAGGAUCUGGCAGGUCAGGAAUGGGCCUCACAGGUGCUGGGUGGGGCAAAGCCUGCAUUUAAGCAAACACAGGUAAAUCCAGCAGGCCCAGGCAGACGGAGGGGCAAGGGUGGAAACAAGAAUAAAGAAGUGGUGGAGCUGAAGUGGGCAGUGGGCCCACCUCUGAGGAGGAUUCUAAGAGCGAAGACAUGGUGGCCAGAAAUGGGUGGAGAGAUGGGGUGAAUAAACAAGGUCAGGAUCAGUUCCUGCUCUGUGAAAUGAUGAUAAUAAAAGCUACCUCAAAGGUUGUUGAAAGACAUAAAUAAGAUAAUGCCUUUUAAGAGUUCUUAGGACGAGCUAACCAGACAUGGGUCCAGGACAAGAAGGGGUGGAAACGCAGCAAGCAGGAAUCAGGAGAGGAUGCCCAAGAUUCUUUGGCUGUUUAUGGGUCCAAGAUUUCCAUUCAGUGCUCCCCACUUCACCCCCCAAAAAUCUCAGAGACUUCUGAGACUGGAAACUUUGCCUUUUGGCUAACACCAAGUCUAUGGAGGUGAAAUUUCCUUACCACAACUAACAGUAAGGUUGGGUCUACAUAGUAAGCCCAUCCUGGUAGCCCUAAACUACUGCACGUCAGGGGUGAUUUGCUUCCAUCUGCUCAGCAUUAAGUCCCAACAGAGAAUAACCUUGUAAGUCAAAGGGACCACAAUAAAAGUAGUCCCACAAGACAGCGGAAAUCGACUACAACAUCCCUGUAGUUGUCGUCUAUUAGUGUGUAGCAAAUUGCUCCAAAACUUAGCAAUUGAAAACGCACAUUAUGUCGUAGUUUCAGAGGCUCAGAAAACCCAGAGCAGCUUAGCGGGGUGGUUCUUGAUUCAGGGUCUCUUAGGAGGCUGCAGUCAAACUUCACCCAGAGGUUCAAAAACUUUCAGGUUUGGCUGAGUCUAGAAGAUUCACUUAAAGCUUCCUCAUUGACUGUUGCCAAGAGAUUUCGGUCCUUUGGCAUGGAGCCUCUCCAUGGGCUGAUAAAUAUCUGACAGCCAGCUUCCCCUGAGCAAGUGACUCAAGGUGUAAAGAGUUACACCAUUUUGCCUUUAAUGACCCUGUCUGCAAGUCCUAUCCCUUCUAUUCAUUAGAAGUGACUCAUUAAGUCCAGCCCACAAUCAAAGGAGGGAAUGACACAAAGGCGUGAAUACCAGGGGGUUGGGAUCACGGGGCUUCCUCCAUUCCCUAGAAGAUGUCAUCACAUUUUAACACAAACACUUCCAGAGAUGGGUAGCUGGUUUCAGAGGCAGCCCAACCCAUUUCUGAAGAGCAAUGUAGUUUAAUUUAUAACAAGUGAACAUCUCCAGCAGCUUCCAUACAUCAGUCCUAAUUCAAUCACAACAUGUUCUCUCACAAGAUAAUCAUGCGAAUAUUUGGAAACACGUCAACUUCUCAGUCAUUGGAGAGACAAGCGACUCAAAUUAUUCCUUCGACCACUCCUCCUGCGAGUACUGAAUCAGACUAUUUGGGAGAUGUACCAAAGGAUUUACAAUUUAGACUUUGUGCAACGGUUUAAAAUUCAUUCCAGAAAAAACAGCUUGGCGCCGUGCAUGAUUUGAUUUCAGAAUUUCAGUUGACUUCAUCUGCAGCUGCUCAUGGCAAAACUAAUCAACAGACAGGUCAGCAUGGAAGAGGAGGUUUUAGUUUUCUGGUUUUGGUAUUUUAAUUUCCAUCUGGGGCUGGCAUUGUGGCGUAUUAGGUUAAGUUGCCAUGCUGUGACACUGGCAUCUCAUAUGGACACCAGUUUGAGUCCUGGCUGCUCCACUUCCAGUCCAGCUCCCUGCUAAUGCGCCUGGGAAAGCCACAAAACAUGGCCCAAAUGCUUCGGCCCCUGCACCCACGUGGGAGACCUGGAUGGAGUUCCAGGCUCCUGGGUUCAGCCUGGCUCAGCCCCAGCUAUUGUGGCCAUUUGGAGAGUGUACUAACAGAUGGAAAAUCUCUCUCUCUCUCUCACUCUCUCUCUGUAACUCUGUAAAUAAAAUAAAUCUUAAAAAAAUUUCCAUCUGAAAGCACUGUCCCCUUUAGUGCAAGCAUAGCCAAGUUAUCUUGUAGCAGGAAGAUAAAAGGAGCUCCGCACAGAAACCCGAGUUCCCCGGCACUUCUCAGGCUUUUGUGACGUCACAUGUGUGCUCGUGCCCAGGUUUCCUCUCCUGAAUGUGUUUCUGUCCCUGAACAGACCCUGCCCUCCCUGCGACCCUCCCAGCCCCGCCUUGCCUCCGUCACUGAUUUCUCUGUUUGCUGCUUGAGGUCUUCACGGUGCCCAAUGGGCCUUCCGUAAAUGAAUGAAUACUUGCCACGGGAAGCUGGGAAAGACCAGUGGCACUUGGCCUACAUAUGGGACAUCAAUAAUAGACCCAGAGCUCACUGUGCAGAGCUGCCUUUAAAAAAAAAGGUGAAAAAGAUUUAUUUAUUUAUUUGAAUAUCAGAGUUAUAGAAAAAGAGGGAAAGACAGAGCUCUUCCAUCCACUGGUUUGUUCCCCACAUGACUGCAACAGCCUGCACUGGGCCAGGCUGAAACCAGGAGCCAGGAGCUCUCCCACGUAUGUGCAGGGGCCCAAGCACUUAGGCCAUCCUCUGCUGCUUUCCCAGGUGCAUUAUCAGGGAGCUGGAUUGGAAGUGGAGCAGCCAGAACCCAAACCGGUGCUCAUAUGAGAUGCUGGCCUCGCAAGCUGCAGCUUAACUCACUGUGCCACACCACCAACCCCUUAAAUACUUUUUUUUUAAAAGAUGUAUUUAUUUAUUUGAGAGGCAGAGUUUCAGACAGAGAGAGAGGUCUUCCAUCCACUGGUUCACUCCCCAAAUGGCCACAACAGCCAGAGCUGGGCCAAUCCAGAGCCAGGAGCCCCAUCUGGGUCUCCCACAUGGUUGCAGGGGCCCAAGCACUUGGGCCAUCUUCUACUGCUUUCUCAGGCCGUUAGCAAUGAGCAGUAUCCAUAUGGGAUGCUUGCAGCACAGGCGGAGGCCUAACCUACUACACCAUAGUGUCAGCCCCUUAAAUAUUUCUUAUUAAAUAUGUUAACAACCCUUUGAGGCAAGUGAUAUUAGCCUCUGUUUUAUAGGUUAAAUAACUAAAUUCAGAAAGUCUUAGUAAGUCCGUGAUCCCUGGGCCAGGGAAAGAUGGAAGUGCCCUGAGUCCACUGCUGUCUUCUCCAUCAUACCUCCUAUUCAUGGUUACACAUCACACACCUAUGGAGCUAUAUGGAGUGAGGGACACUCGGGCAUUACAUUAAUUAGGACUUUCGUUUGAUAUUCCAGAAAUCAGAGAGUAAUUCUCUCCAGCUGCAGCCCUGAAAUGGAAAUACAGUAACGUUAGGCAUAAAAUUGUAUCUUGAUUUCCCCCAAGGAAUUUCCCUCUCUCAUCCUCAUAGUAAGCAUUAACAAUUAAUGGGAAAUGCUUUCCAAACCAUAUAGCUUCAUUCUUAAUAUUUAUGAUGCCCACAAAACAUACAAACAUCUGUUCUGUGGAGUGAUAGCUAUUAAAGCACACUUAAGUGCCAAGCACUCUCUCUCACGUAGACGAGUCAAUGCUUUAAGCACUUGCCCCUCUGGAGUUAUCUAAACAGCAAGGAUUCCAAGAAGAUGGGAGGAAGACAAUUUUAAAUUCAGCCAAGGAAUAUGAGUUCGUUUUAUCAUGGCUGAAAGCACAUAGUAAUUUUAAAUAGAUCAAAGUUAUUUUUAAAUGGUUGACAUGAUCUUUCAUAUUAAGGAUGACUGCACCCCCAAAGCUGAAGGUAAGGUUUCCCUCAGAGAAAUCAAAUUAGAAAAGACUCCAAAGGUGACGGAUGAGAUCAUCCAUCAGCAGGAGUGACAGACCUAAGAAAUCUGUUAAAAUACGACUGCCAAGUUGGGCACACCCAAACUGCAAUCAUGGUAGCCUGGAGUGCCCAAAGGAGCAGGCCAGGAAGGGGAUUAUUACUAAGGUAAAGGAUUCUCUGCCUGGCAAAAGGCUGUGUGUGAGGAGGAGAGUGCUCUGUGCGGGUCUUUGAUAGCACAGUUGAGCUGUGGGAGCCAGCACCUGCACACUAUGUCCUAUCUGACAAUAAAAUUUCUUGUGGUUAAGUAGCAGGCACAUUGAUGGAUAUAUGCCAUGUGACAAAUGUGAGCUGCUCUGUGUAUACUAUCAACGUUGUCUGUAAGGAUUUAUUUAUUUUAUUUGAAAGACAGAGUGACAGAGAAGGCAGAGAGAGAGAGAGAGAGAGAGAGAGAGAGAUCUCCCAUCUGCUGGUUCACUCCCCACAUAGCUGCAACAUCCUGGUCUAGGGCCAGGUGUCAACCUGGAGCCAAGAACUCCAUCUGGGUCUCCCACAUGGGUGACAGGGUCCUAAGUACUUGGGCCAUCUUCUGCUGCCUUCCCCGGGCGCAUUAGCAGGAGCUGGAUUGGAAGGUGGAGCAGCCAGGACUUGGACCAAUGCUCCAAUACGAGAUGCCAUUCAGGAGCAGCAGCUAAACCUGCUGCAGCAAAGGCCAGCCCCUAUCAUCAACAUUUAGAUCAGUAAAACUGAGGACCAGGCUUCCAACCCAGCAAUCACGUGUCAGUAAUGCUACCUAGUCAUUCCUAGCUGAUAUUUCUUCAAAUUGCAAGAAACACACUGUUCACAUAAUAGCUACCACCACCACCACCACCGCCAUCAUGAUAACAAAAUUAUGAAAGUGCUAGCAAUUGGUGAACACUUAUCAAAUAUCAGGUACACUUCUAAAGCUCUCUAUAAAUUACCCAUCGAGUCCUCACAGCUAUCCCAUGAGGCAAAAGGUGAAUGUGAUGCAGGGAGGUUAUGUAAUGUAUGCUGGGUCAUGUGCUAGUGAGUGCUAGAGGCCUGAAUUCUAACCCAGAUAAGCUCUCUGCUCUCUUGUCCACUCCCGGGGAGGCUGAAGAGAAGGGGGAGAGUAUGUAUGUAUUUAAAUAUACAUAUGGAAAUAACAUGUUCAAACAGGUAUUUUUGGUUGCAAGAUAUAAAGUUUUACUUACUGUCAAAUAAAAUGUUGGGUGAAGUUCACUGUGAGUAAGUGAACUAUUAUUUUAUCAUAAUACCUGGUGUUUAUCUUGACUUUUGCAUCCAUUACAAUGCAUUGUAUGUAUCUGUUCAUAUACUCAGUGUAAUUAUCCCGCUUGAGCCCAACACAUUUGUGAUUUUUUUUCUCUUUUAUUUACUAUUAUAUUCCUGAUGCAAAGAACAGUGACAAAUGGUAGGAGCUGAAGAAAUAUUUAAUCAAAUAAAAAGUAGGGUUGGGGGCACUGAGCCAGGACAGGACUGAGAGUUUGAUGAUUGCAAAAAGAAACACAAUCAGCUGGAGAUCAUGGGACCUGACAACUGGGAAACAGAACUUGUUCUGUUACCCUGCCUGCCAGCCGCGGCUCUUACCUCGCCCCGCUUUGCAUUUAUAUUUCAUUUUCCUUUGCUUCAAGUGGGCUUCCUUUGCUACUCGUGCUUUCUGCGCCCCCAUAAUUUUUACAUUUGUGAAACUGAUCUGUUGUGAAGCCAAUCUCAGCCUCAACUCUAUUUGAUCUUCAAGUUCUGCAGCCCAUCACUGUUACAGACUAGUGCUACCGAUUCAAGUUGUCAGGAUGAAGAUUCUGAUUGGUUCAGCUUAGGUCAAGAGUUCUUCAGUUGUCCAAUUAGCUGUGGCUAGAGCGCCUGAUCAAAAUGGCUGUCUAGGCUUGGUCUUUCAGCCAAAGGCAAUUUCCAUGAAAGGACUGUGGGCUGGCUGUGCACCCUAAAAAAGGUCUCUUACAGAUGUCAAAGUGAUAUUGCUCUCUUUUUUGAAUCUAGAUUAGUUUUAGAAGCUACUAAGGAGUAUUUUAAAUUACGUUGAAAAUUUGUAGUCAUACGCUUACUGUAUUUUAACACAGAAUUUCUAUGGACUGCCAUUUUCCAGUUGCUUGCAUUUUCAAUUUUGUUCUUUGAUUGCUUAAAACACAGACAUCUUUUCUUUCUUGCCAUGCAAUGAAAAUGUUCUAUUUUGAUAGGGUAUGUGUUAGUCAUAGUGUUUGCAUUUUCAUUAUGAUAUCAAGAAGUUAAUCUGUUCUACUCUUUUAAACCAGUGUAGUUAAGGGCUUUUGAUGGUUUCUUGUGAUAAUUGCAUUAUGAUUUUCACCCUCUUAUGUUUUAGACUACAUAAUUUCCGGAGCUUGAAGAGAAUUGCCAGAAAUGUUACUUGUAGUUCAUGAUUUAAUCCUGACACUGAAGAGCCCUAGAUUGCCCCUAAUUUACAAAUGAAUUCCAAAAGAUCACUUGUAAGUCAGUUGUUUGAGACUUGAAAUACAUUUUCUUAGUGGUCCACAAGAGGUUAUUUAACCUAUAAUACAGUCACUUCAUCAUUGGUUCCAUCAAGUGCCACUAUUUGCCUGGUGCUGUGUUAAGCAACCAUGGGUACAGUAAGACAAAAUAGAUUAGUUCCUGUCCCCACGAAGCUUAGAGUCCAGGGGGAGGAACACCAACUAGUUACAUUAGGGCUAAUGUCAUAGUUGGGUUCCUGGCACAUAGUAGGUCCUCCAAAAAUACUCAUGAGGUGCAUAACUGAAUAGAUUAAAACUGAAUAAUUUUAUUUGCAAUUUAAUUUUCGAUUUAUUAUUCACUUAGUCUUCACAAUUCUCUGAGGCUUUAACCUUUUAAAAUCUCUAAUCCUAACUAAUUCCACUCAAAAGGACAAAUUUACAAUGCAUAUAUUUUUAAGCUUUUUGUUGAUGUGUAAAACUUAUACAGGGGGGUGGGCAUUCAGUCCAGCACUUAAGACAUUAGUUAUAAAGCCAGCCUUCCAUACCUGGGCUUGAUCCCAGCUCUGGCUCACAAUUCUAGCUUCCUGCUAACAUAGACCCUAGGAGUCAGCAGGUGAUGAAUCCUUGCCACCUACAUGGUAGACCUGGAAUGAAUUCCUGCCUCCUGUUGCAGGCAUUUGGGGACUGCUCUCUCUCUCUUCCUCUCUCUCUCUCUCUCUCUCCAUACCUCUAAAAUAAUUUUUUAAAAAUAUACAAAGAAAUAUACAUAACUUGAAUACAACUCAAAUUGAACACAUCUGAUCAAGAAACAAACUCUUCCAGCAUUCCAGACACUUGCUCAUGCCUCUUUACAGUCAGUCCACUCCCCCUAAAGGAAAAGAGUAUUAUUUAAAAAUUAAAUAGAUGAGCUUAUAGUCAUUUAAUAAUAUAUUUGAGAAAGAAAGAAAUCUUAGUAAAUCCUCAUUUGUCAUCUAAAACUCAAUAAAAUGUGUUACUAGGCUUGUCAGUCAUGAUUAGAUCCAGCUACACAUUAUUAAAAACUGAAAACAACAAUACUGAGAUAAAGUUGUUUAUUUCUCACAUGAAGGAGAUGUUUAGGGCUGGUUUGGUAGCUUCACAGUUAUCAAAGACCCUGGUUUCUUCUAUCUUACAGAUCAACUAUUCUAGGGCAUAGGUAGGGGUGGGCCAAGACAGUGAUUGGAAAUCUAGCCAUCAAAUCCACAUUCCAGACAGGAGGAAGGAGAGAAAAAGGACUGCACUCUUGUCUUGUUAAGUUCACCUCUGAGGAGUCUGUCCCCAAGGCCUUCAUGACAUUUCUCCUUAAAUCAUUCAGAAUUUCAUCAUGAGGUCAUAUGGUUUUUAAGGGAAACUGGUCUUUUAGCUGGGUGCAUUGAUGUUCCCUAUGACAUAGGGAUUCUGUUAGUAAGGAAAACAGAGAAUAUAUUUGGAGAAGGCAACCAGUCUACAGCUAUGUUGAUUUUAUUAUAAUUAUGCAUCCUCCAUCACAUUGUCUAAUGAAAACUUAGGUAUCAUGUAUAAGAAGCUGAGAGAUCAAAGUUCAAAGAAAAUUCUAAAAAUCAUUUACUGUACAAAGGGAUCUGUAUCCAGAUUCAAUUACUUGCUGUAGGGCCUGGAACCGGAUGGCAGACCUCUCUAAGUCCAGCUUCUCCAUGGUAGAAUAUGGCAGACACACGUCUUAUCUAAUUACAGUGUAGAGUCAUGGUGAGCAAAAUUGUUCUAAAAAGUCGUGUGUGUGUGUGCACGUGUGUGCUAGGUGUGGACUAGAAAAAUUCAGAGAAUUCAUUCCUCACAGGCAUAUCUUCUUUCAAGUUUAGUAUUCUGAGGUGAGUAAAAGGGUGAAGGUAAGUUCCAGCAGAACCCAGCUUAUCAUCACAUAGAUCUGUAUCUAGAACAAGUUGAAUCUUGCCUCCCACCAGAAAGGCAACGUACAUAAAAAGGCUAAUGUUCCAUGAUUAUAAGGCAGGUGCUACUCUUGUCUUCCAUUUUUGCCAUAUUAUUAAUGUUGGGCUCACUUCCAAGAACUCUCCCUAGGGGUAGGGGAGACUGGAGCAAGUUGAACUUUGAAGCUUUCUUUCUUUUUCUUUUUUUUUUUUUUUGAACAGGUGAAAUCUGGUUUGAGUGAGCCUCCAGGGCAGCCUGUAUCAGUAGAGCAAAGGCUGUCGCCAUCAGGAAGAGUGGGAGGUGGGAGGGGCAUCAGUAGCUGUCAAGCCUAUCUCCAAAGGAGCAUUGUCUGGGUAUAAGUGGGAAACUGGGCAGGGCAACAGAGGUGGAGACUGUGCAGGGAAAGGCCAGAGGGUGGCGGGACAGUUCCAAGUAGGCAAGGAAGCUGCAGAGAGCACACACAGAGCCCUGAGCUCCAGGGCUGUGGCACCUGUCACACCCGAUUCAGCUGAUGUUGCCAAGCCCCUGCUAUGUAAAAGGCUCUAAGCUAGGUGCCAUGGGGGUGGGCAGAGGCACAAACCAGAGGGUCCUGCCUGAAGGAUGCUGAUGGCCACCAACCCCUAGUGAGGGCAGGAGGCAUAUGCUUUAAAGCACAUCCCAGGGUUCAAAGUGAUCAGUGUUAUGAAAGAAGAGUGAGUGAGGUGUUGCCCAGAUUCAGGGGUGGGGAUAGUUAAGCUGCACGAAUGGUGAAGGCGGGAUGAGAAGAGGAGAGGAGACUGAGAAGGUCUGAGGACCGCGCUCUUUGAUCAAGAGGAGUGCGAUCUUCAGGGAGGAAGAGCUUUUGGCAGUGGGCGGGUGGGUGGUGAGAGGCUGGGAAGAUGAGGCUAAGUGAUUUGGUACCGUGGCAAGAUUCACCUAAGAGGCCCCUUGGGACUUCCUAAUGCAGAGUUUGCUCUGGGGAAGCGCAAGGGAAGAAACAGCCGCUGUCUCCCGCUUACUCCAGGGUUUCUUCUUCCCUCCUAAUUUCCCUGCCACGCUUCGGUGUCGUCUUCCCCAGCUGCUACCAUCAACACGAGCAGUCACAGGAUGCGCUGCAACUGUGACCUUUCAGCCUAGGUGUGGAGGCUUCAGACCCCACCGGGGAAGCCGAGUGACUUAGAGACGUGGGUGGAAAGAAAGGGAGACGGGAGAGGGGGUGGGAGGGCCGCCAUCGCUGCCCCUUUGGAACAAGCCUGCUGGGUCUGUUUACGAGACUUUUCUUGAGCUGUACCUUGGAAACCCAUCCCAAGAGAGUCAUUUCCCUCCAGGGAUGAUGGCAGGAGCCUCAUGAGCACUGGACAAGCAGCAGGCUCCAGCAGGGGCUGCAGUGGAGGAACUGGCGUGGAUGUCAGGGAAGAGGGUGGGACGGGGCUCGGGACUUCGCCCACUCCCUUUCGGUGGCUCGUGGGAGCGCAGAGCGGCAGGUUAGGUGAGGAAGAUGCUGACCCUCGCGUGGCAAGGUAGAUUUAAAUGUGUAGCCUUCUGCUUUGUUUUCAUUCUUUCUUUCCUUCUCUCUGCCUUUCCUCGAUUUUGUUAGCUACAUGCCACAACCCUCAGUGCCUCAGCAAGGCAAACAAAGCAGAGAAAAGCUUUUGAAGUUUUAACUCCUUUGACCUGGGAAGGAUUCAAUGGGUCAUCGAGGGCAUCGGUUUUCUUUCUCCCAGUACAGGAAAGGGGGUCCCUGGGUCGAAGUGCAUAAAAGGCAUCAGACAGAAGUGCUGAGUGCGUGGCCACGGUGGGGCCCACAGCAGUGGUGGGAAGCCAGGGGGCAGUGCCUUGUCCUAAGCGGGCCAGGUUCCAAGGGAUAGGGGAGCACCGGAGUCUGCACAGAGGACUCGCUGACUUGGUGCGGACGCAGCCUGAGCCUCCACGUUCACGCGGAGCCUGGCGAGACGAGAGUCCAUAGAAGCCCCUGGACAGGUUAGCCAGGUAGGAAAAGAGCCUUCAGCAGAGCUUCCUACCCAGUAUGUACCCCUGGGGCACCCAGCUGUGACACAGAAGGAAUGGCGACCAAGUCGUAACCUCAGGAAACCAAAUCAAAGGUCAGGCAGGUGCAAGAUGAUGACUCAGGUCAGAAUGACCCACCCAGGGACCCUCACAUCUGUGGGCCCCUUUCUAGCAUACGUUUUUGUAAAAUUUCAAAAGAUCUUUGAACUACAAUCAGUUAAAGAUUCUGUACCUUCCCAUUUGUACCUCUCUUCUAUCACACUUACCUCCUCAUCUUCCUCCUCCUUCUCCUCUUUCUGGAAGUCUUGCUAUUAAAAAUGUUUAUUCAUUUGUUUGGAAGGCAGAGGGAGAGACACAGGGACACAGAGAUCUUCAGUCUGCUGAUUCACUCCCCAGAUGCUGCAAGUGUUGUAGAUGGGCUGGACCAGACCAGCGUCAGGCACCUGGAACUCAGUCGGGGUCUCGCAUGAGGGUGACAGGGAUCCAAGAACCUGAGUUCAUGAAACAAUGCCUCCAGGGGAGUGCACCGGCAGGAAGGUGGCAUCGGAAGCCGAGCUGGGGCUCCAGCGCAGGCACUCUGAUGAGCGAUGCAGGCAUCUCCCGUGGCAUCUACACCGCUGCACCGACCACGCACCCCACAUUCCCUCUCUAGCGUGGCAUUGAAGUGGCUGUGGGCAGUUUCUGAAUUCAGCUAAGGGGAACUUGAAAUACACAGUCUUAACUGCAAUGUGGGAAGACAUUUUGAAAUGUUUUAGUAAAUCAUAUGAGAAUUUAGGGCCUUCUAAUUUCAGUAGAUAUGAAGAGUGCCUCUUUUGUCAUUAGAUGUGUUUUUUAGAGAAAUGAAAGAAAAUUCAGAUAAGAAGGAACACUUAAGAAAAACUUAAUAGAAUACAAAGCAGAGUGAUAAAGAUCAGUGAUAAAAUCAAUUGACAUUUUGCAAGAAGCAAAUUGUAACCAAAAUAAAUUUUGAAAACAGUGCUUCAUAUUGAAAGACCAAGUUAAAUUUUUUUAAGAUUUAUUUAUUUAUUUGAAAGGCAGAGUUACACAGAGAGAGGAAAGGCAGAGAGAGAGAGGGUGGUCUUCCAUCUGCUGGUUCACUCCCCAAUUAGCCAAAAUGGCCAGGAACCAGGAGCUUCCUCUGGGUCUCCCAGUGGGUACAGGGGCCCAAGGACUUGGGCCAUCUUCUACUUUCCCAGGCCAUAGCAGAGAGCUGGAUCGGAAGUGGUGCAGCCAGGACUCGAAUUGAUGCCCACAUGGGAUGCCGGCACUGCAGGUGGUGGCCCUACCUGCUAUGCCACAGUGCUGGCCCCCAAGUUAAAUUUCAAAUGAAAGUGAUGAAUAUGCUUUCGGAUUGUUUGAUUAUCCAAUGAAUGAAGAGAAACGGAGCAUUUAAACACAUUGGGAGAAUAUUUAAAUCUCCUCUGACUUGACACAAAAUACCAACAUGGAAAAAAGUGAUCUCAAACUCAUACUGUGCUACUGCAAUGAGGACAUCCAUAGCGAAUGCGUUCAUCAACUCGAAGAUGACUGGAGAGUAAUAUUUCAAAUAUUCAGUAUGAAAAUAUACAGCCACUAUGAGAAAAAUGUUGGAAAUUUUCUCAAAUUUGACAGCUCUAAACGUUUUUAUGACAUUACUGAUCAUGAACUGUGAAGUUGAAGAAACACCUCAGGUGGUAAAUUAAUAAAAAAUACCAUGUUGUAGUAUGUUGUGAUUUUUUUCAUUAUAAAUAAAAGCUGGAUGGACAUUAUGGCACAGUGGCUUAAGUAGCAGCUUGUGACACGGACAUUCCAUAUAGGAACACAGGUUCUAGUCCCAGCUGCUCCACUUGUGAUCCAGUUCCCUGCCUAGGAAGCAGCAGAGAUGGCCAACGUUCUUGGGACCUUGCCACCCACCUGGGAGACCCAAAUGAAGUUUCAGGCUUCUGUCUUUGGCCCAGCCUAGUCCUGGUAAUUGCAACUAUUUGGGGGAGGGAACCAGCAAGUAGAUCUCCCCCUCCCCCUUUCCUCUCCCUCCCCUUCUAUCUGUCACUUUGCCUUUGAAAUACAUAAAUAAUUUUUUGAAGCACAUGGGCCUCUGGAAAUAGCAACGUGAAUUUUUUUUUUUUUUGACAGGCAGAGUGGACAGUGAGAGAGAGAGACAGAGAGAAAGGUCUUCCUCUGCCGGUGGUCCACCCUCCAAUGGCCGCCGCGGCCGGCGCGCUGCGGCCGGCGCACCACGCUGAUCCGAUGGCAGGAGCCAGGAGCCAGGUGCCUUUCCUGGUCUCCCAUGGGGUGCAGGGCCCAAGCACCUGGGCCAUCCUCCACUGCACUCCCUGGCCACAGCAGAGGGCUGGCCUGGAAGAGGGGCAACCGGGACAGAAUCCGGCGCCCCGACCGGGACUAGAACCCGGUGUGCCGGCACCGCUAGGCGGAGGAUUAGCCUAGUGAGCCACGGCGCCGGCCGCAAUGUGAAUUUUUUAAAAAGAUUUAUUUAUUUAUCUGAAAGGCAGAGUUACAGAGAGAGAUAGAGAGAGGGAGAGAGGUCUUCUAUAUGCUGGUUUACUCCCUAAAUAGUCUCAAUGGCCAGAGCUGGGCUGAUCCAAAGCCAGGAGUCAUCUGGGUCUCCCAUGUGGGUUCAGGGUCCCAAGUACAUGGGCCAUCUGCUGCUUUCCCAGGCGCAUUAGCAGGGAGCUGGGUUGGAAGUGGAGCAGCCAGGACCUAAUUGCUGUCCACCAGGUGUCUUUACCUGCUAUGCCACAGCCCUAGCCCCAACAACAUGAAAUUUUUCGGUGGCUUCUUGUGGCUCUCCUGAACCACUCUGCCCUGGUGACACAGGCAGCUGAGACAGCUUUUAAGAUGUCUGCAGCUUCCUUAUUUCCUCAGACUGUUGAUGGGUUUCCCUAUCCGUAGUUCCCUCAGCCCUUCCCAGAGAGUUAUAAGCAUGUUAUUCCCUGUAUUAAAUCCCUUUCUACUUGAAAUACCUACAGUGGUUUCAGUUUUCUUACUACAUUCUGAUUGAUACACCUGAUGGAAUGGAAGCUUACCAAAGAGACUAAGUGGCAUAGGAAAAUCCAUUCAGGGGGCUGAUGUUGCAUCAUUGGUAAAGCCAUCCCCUGUAAUGCUGGCAUUCCAUUUGAUGCAGCUCCCUGCUAAUGGCCCAGGAAAAGCAGCAGCAGAUGGCCCAAGUGCUUGGUUCCCUGCACCUGUGUGGGAGACCCAGAUGAAGCUCCUGGCUUUGGCCUGGCCCAGCCUUGGCUGUUGUAGCCAUCUGGGGAGUGAACCAGUAGGUGGAUGAUCUCUUUCUCUUUCUCUAUCUCUCCCUCUCUCUCUGUAAUUCAUUUAAAAAAUAAUAAUUAAAAAAAAAAACAGAAAAUCCACUCAACCCCCCCCCCCCAAACAGCUGAGCUUGUGGCUGAGCUGCCUGUGCCCCUGCUGCCUCUGUAGAUAUUAGCACACGCCACUGGAGCAGGGGUCUGUAGCAGCAACGCCUCUUCUUCCAUCCCACCUGCUGGCAUCCUGGUUCACAGAGUGGCUCUGACAUAAUUCUGAAAGCCACAGGGCCCCAAAAGAGUAGGAGUGGGAAAUGUGCCAGUUUCCACAUCCCAGACAAAACCAUAUCUAAGGAUAAAGAAAAUUACGUCCCAUGCUUGCCUCAGGUCUCUCCUCUGUCUCCCUCAACCUUGACUUCUUCCUGUUGGCUCCCUGGUAUGACAUUCUUGCCACGCUCUUUCAUCUCUCCUCUCCUGAUCCAACUGUCCCAUUACCAUUGACUCAGCUCCACACACAACUGAACAGCUGUCCAGCUCACCCCAGCGUGUGUGGAGAGAAGAUAUGAAAGACUUGCUCCUUAUUCUGAGUAGCUAACACGCUGCUGGGAGGCAUUCUAUGUAAGUUCAAUCCUGAUGUUGCUCAGAUGUUAAUUACAAAAUGAACACACUUUAAGGAGCUCUUACAAAACAUAGUAGAUACAGCGAGGCUUUAGUCCAUAGAUUUACAACUUAACUGGCUUUUGUCGAUCAGGUUAAUUCAAAGCAUUCCCAUUUGGCCGUUAGUGGGUUCCUCUUAAUGGAAAGGCAUGGCAUCAAUUGAUUUAUUAUACGGAGAGCAAAAUUCAAGCUGUCAUUGCUUUGUAUCUAUGUUUGAUUCCUAAAGGGUAUCCAGGUGAACGAAUCAUUUUUCAGAUGAAAGAAAAUUUCCAAAGAAGAACAUGCAUGAUAGAAUCAUAAAUACUUCUGUUAGCCUGAGGCAAGCCAAGUUCAUGUACUAUUCUUUCUGAAUAUUUAUUUAUUUCAGGAAUGGUUUAAGUUAAUACUUUCAUUCAAAGCCUCAAAGGCACUAUGUUUUCAGCAAAACUAAUAAUCACUUCCUGAUAACACUGACUUAAGUAUGCUUUUCUUUCUGUGUUUUCUUUUCUGUGUCGUUUGGGAGAAGGAAGUCAUAAAGCUGUGCAUCUGGAGUCAGCGUUAGGCCUCAAAGAUAGAGAGAUCGCCUGUACUGUGGAGAACUGGUGCACUGCAGUCCCUCUGUCCUUUUCAUGUAGCACCCAAGUCUGGGUGCACGGUGUAACCUGCGGACCACCCAAGAAAGAAGGGGCAGCCUUCUCUAAGGGGGUACCUUAACAGGGGCCUUGAAAUCUUGUUUGCAAAAGUCAGAUCAGAAGAAUGCAAGUGGUGUGUCGAUUUGAAACAUAAUAAUGAGAUGGGUAAUGUCACCAGUCACCCCAUUGAAGAACUGGUGGCCUGGGCUCCUUCCUGUCCCACUCCUCGUCUCCACAUUAAGAGGAAGCUGCCAUGUUGUAUGCAGCUCUAAGGAGAAGCCCAGCUGGCAGAAAGGUGAAGCCUCUGGCCAACAGCCAGCUAGGAACUGUGUCCUGGCAAUAACCAAGUAAGUGAGCUUGGGAGUGAAUUCUUCAGCCCUGCUUUAGCCUUGAGAUGACUGCAACUCCAGCCAACAUCUUGACUGUAACCUCAUGAGACACCCUGAGCCAGAGCCACCUGGCCCAGUCACUCUCAGAUUACUACAUCUCAGGAACAGUGUGAGAUAAUAAAAUGGUUGUUGUUUUAAGCU